AUUGAACGCUGGCGGCAGGCCUAACACAUGCAAGUCGAGCGGAUGAAAGGAGCUUGCUCCUUGAUUCAGCGGCGGACGGGUGAGUAACGCGUGGGAAUCUGCCCAGUAGUGGGGGACAACGUCUCGACAGGGGCGCUAAUACCGCAUACGCCCUACGGGGGAAAGGGGGGGAUCUUCGGACCUCUCGCUAUUGGAUGAGCCCGCGUCGGAUUAGCUAGUUGGAGGGGUAAAGGCCUACCAAGGCGACGAUCCGUAACUGGUCUGAGAGGAUGAUCAGUCACACUGGGACUGAGACACGGUCCAGACUCCUACGGGAGGCAGCAGUGGGGAAUAUUGGACAAUGGGCGGAAGCCUGAUCCAGCCAUGCCGCGUGUGUGAAGAAGGCCUUAGGGUUGUAAAGCACUUUCAGUGGGGAGGAAGGCCUUAAAGUUAAUACCUUUGAGGAUUGACGUUACCCACAGAAGAAGCACCGGCUAACUCCGUGCCAGCCGCCGCCGUAA
rnacentral:rRNA from 1 species